UUCAGAAUUCCCGGUGUCAUUUCCAUUUC
rnacentral:piRNA from 1 species